CCUACGGGAGGCAGCAGUGGGGAAUAUUGCACAAUGGGGGGAACCCUGAUGCAGCGACGCCGCGUGGAGGAAGAAGGUCUUCGGAUUGUAAACUCCUGUCAUUCGGGACGAUAAUGACGGUACCGAAUGAGGAAGCCACGGCUAACUACGUGCCAGCAGCCGCGGUAAUACGUAGGUGGCGAGCGUUGUCCGGAAUUACUGGGCGUAAAGGGCGCGUAGGCGGUCUACUAAGUCAGAUGUGAAACCCCUAGGCUCAACCUGGGGCUUGCAUAUGAAACUGGUAGGCUAGAGUGUCGGAGAGGGAAGCGGAAUUCCUAGUGUAGCGGUGAAAUGCGUAGAUAUUAGGAGGAACACCAGUGGCGAAGGCGGCUUUCUGGACGAUAACUGACGCUGAGGCGCGAAAGCGUGGGGAGCAAACAGGAUUAGAUACCCCGGUAGUC
rnacentral:rRNA from 1 species